rnacentral:rRNA from 1 species
UACAGAGGUCUCAAGCGUUGUUCGGAUUCAUUGGGCGUAAAGGGUGCGUAGGCGGCGCUGUAAGUCGGGUGUGAAAUCUCGGAGCUUAACUCCGAAACUGCAUUCGAUACUGCCGUGCUUGAGGACUGGAGAGGAGACUGGAAUUUACGGUGUAGCGGUGAAAUGCGUAGAUAUCGUAAGGAAGACCAGUGGCGAAGGCGGGUCUCUGGACAGUUACUGACGCUGAGGCACGAAGGUCAGGGGAGCAAACGGG